GCUCCUGUACGGUGUACAUUUUAGGACAUCGUCAGGUAUCAGAAAAAAAAUUGUCAGGUGUCAGUUGUCAAAAAAAAAAUUGUCAGGUAUCAGAAAAAAAAUUGUCAGGUGUCAGUUGUCAAAAAAAAAAAAGUCAGGUAUCAGACAAAAAAUUGUCAGGUGUCAGAAAAAAAGUUGUCAGGUAUCAGAAAAAAAAUUGUCAGGUGUCAGAAAAAAAGUUGUCAGGUGUCAGAAAAAAAAUUGUCAGGUGUCAGAAAAAAAAUUGUCAGGUGUCAGAAAAAAAGUUGUCAGGUGUCAGAAAAAAAAUUGUCAGGUGUCAGAAAAAAAAUUGUCAGGUGUUAGAAAAAAAAUUGUCAGGUGUCAGAAAAAAAGUUGUCAGGUGUCAGAACACAAGGUACCAGAGAGAAAAUCUUCCUGCAGGUGGCGCUGUUGUCAUGUCCCACCCGAAUUGAUUUCCAAAUACGUCAUCAACGUGUGACCGUGGGAGAGCGUAAGGUCAUUGACCUCACCGGAGUUUUACCGUGGUUCAGGCUCCUAACGACACAAGGUAAGUUUAACUUUUUCUCCCUUUUGUUCAUAUUUUUGCCACAGUUGUGUUAUAUUAAGUUGCAGUUAUGUUGUGAAAGUUACAUAUCAGAGACGGAAAGCCAGUUUUGUACGAAACCAAAUCAGUACUAUUUUUGUCUGGCUAAUUCAUUCUAGCUAGCGACAGUGGUGAAACGUGAUUCAAAUUUAAACUGUUCAGUAAUUGUUUUGUAUACAUUUCAGCAAAUGGACAAGCUGAAAGCUUACGAGCAGCUUAAAAAAGACCUUGAAAAUGGUGAGAUUACCCAAAAAGGCUUUGAUAACAACAUAAAAAAGCUCCUGACAGCAGAAAAAUCAGAUGACACUACUUCAACACGUGGCAAUGAAUUUCUCAGUGCAGCAGAGGCCUUUGGUAAAGCCAAGAAACUACUACAGCCUCAAGUAAAGAAAAGGCAGUUUCCACUGAAUGAUAAACGUUUGGACCAUGCCAAAUCAUUAUUGAAGGUCAGACUGGCUCCCAUGGAGUGGAAGCCAAGAACUCAUAGAAAGUGUGGACGGUACCAGAAGUUAAUAAUGGACGAAGCUCCACCUCGAAUCAUUCUUCAAGGCCAUGAAACCUAUGAUGAUUUAAUUACCAUAGGCAAAGAACGCUUCUGGCCAGAGCGUACUGAGGGGAGUGAGUUCACUCUUUGCCAUUCUGACGGGACCAGGUGGAGUAAGCAGGAGUUCCACAAAGAAUACGGAACUGUUUCUGAUAUUACACAUAUGUGGAAAAGAACAAUAUACAUCGGGCGACGACAACUGGAGGUCGUGUGUUUGGAUGAUCAAAGUUCCAUCUCAGAUGAAGACCCUGUAACUAAAGUGGGUGGUGAUGAAAGUUGCAGUUUAGAUGAACUUCCUGAAACCCUCAUAGGACAAAGUGUUGCAGAACAGUGUAUCUUCCACGUGUUCCAUAUGUGGAAGAGGCUUUAAUUACAUACAGUGAGGACAAUCUACUGGGAGAAGGAACAUUUGGCAAGGUAUAUAGAGGUUCUUUUCAUGGUACUCCAGCAGCUGUUAAAAGGAUCAUGUGUGGCCAACAAGGGAUGGAGGACAGCGACAUUCAUCAUGAGAUAAAUGUUUCACUGAGACUGUCUCACCCCAACAUCGUCAGACUCAUGGCAGUUGCCCGCACUGAGUCCUGCUUUUUGUUGGCAGCUGAAUACAUUCAUGGCGCAACCCUGCAGCAAGUGCUUCACACAGACAGCUGCUUGGUGAAGCUUGAAGGGGAUGAUGCCGGUUUCAUAUCACUGGACUUAUCCAUGGCAGUAGAGUACAUCCAUGCACAGAGAAUCAUUCACCAGGAUAUAAAGCCAGCAAAUGUCAUGGUUCACCACCCUUCUAAAAAGGCAGUCCUGACAGACUGGGGCAUGGCAAACAUAAGAGACACUGUGAUGCUUCGUCAAGGGAGUAAGUUCACUGCCCAG
ensembl:lncRNA